ACUGCCGUAGCUCAGUUGAUUAGAGCACCACCACUCUCUAUGACCCGGUCCAAUGGUCGGUGGUUCGAAUCCACCCGGUCGUACCA
rnacentral:tRNA from 1 species